GCGGGAAGAGCUCAAAUUUAUAAUCUGGCACCUUCGGUGUCCGAGUUGUAAUCUCUAGAAAUGUUUUCCGCGUUGGACCGCACACAAGUCUGUUGGAAUACAGCGGCAUAGUGGUGAGACCCCCGUAUAUGGUGCGGACGCCCAGCGCUUUGUGAUACAUUUUCGAAGAGUCGAGUUGUUUGGGAAUGCAGCUCAAAUUGGGUGGUAAAUUCCAUCUAAAGCUAAAUAUUGGCGAGAGACCGAUAGCGAACAAGUACCGUGAGGGAAAGAUGAAAAGCACUUUGGAAAGAGAGUUAACAGUACGUGAAAUUGUUGGAAGGGAAACGCUUGAAGUCAGACUUGCUUGCUGAGCAAUCGGUUUGCAGGCCAGCAUCAGUUUUCCGGGAUGGAUAAUGGUAGAGAGAAGGUAGCAGUUUCGGCUGUGUUAUAGCUCUCUGCUGGAUACAUCUUGGGGGACUGAGGAACGCAGUGUGCCUUUGGCGGGGGUUUCGACCUCUUCACACUUAGGAUGCUGGUGGAAUGGCUUUAAACGACCCGUCUUGAA
rnacentral:rRNA from 1 species